AACGAACGCUGGCGGCGUGCCUAACACAUGCAAGUCGAACGGGGUUGGGGGGCUUGCUCCUCAAUCUAGUGGCGCACGGGUGAGUAACGCGUAGAUAAUCUGCCUGAUGAUCCGGGAUAACACUUCGAAAGGGGUGCUAAUACCGGAUAAGCCCACGGGGACUUUGGUCUUUGCGGGAAAAGGGGGGGACCUUUUGGCCUUCUGUCAUCAGAUGAGUCUGCGUACCAUUAGCUAGUUGGUAGGGUAAAGGCCUACCAAGGCUACGAUGGUUAGCUGGUCUGAGGGGAUGAUCAGCCACACUGGAACUGAGACACGGUCCAGACUCCUACGGGAGGCAGCAGUGGGGAAUUUUGCGCAAUGGGCGAAAGCCUGACGCAGCAACGCCGCGUGAGUGAUGAAGGCUUUCGGGUCGUAAAGCUCUGUCGAGGGGAAAGAAGUGUAUUGUGGUUAAUACCCAUGAUACUUGACGGUACCCCUAAAGGAGGCACCGGCUAACUCCGUGCCAGCAGCCGCAGUAAUAC
rnacentral:rRNA from 1 species